rnacentral:rRNA from 1 species
ACGCUCGACACCUACGUGAGGCAGCAGUGGGGAAUAUUGGGCAAUGGGGGCAACCCUGACCCAGCAACGCCGCGUGAGGGAAGAAGGUUUUCGGAUUGUAAACCUCUGUCCUUGGGGACGAAGAAGUGACGGUACCCAAGGAGGAAGCUCCGGCUAACUACGUGCCAGCAGCCGCGGUAAUCUGAGCGGGCUGGCAAGGC